GACAAAGGCACCUUUCACUAUAGAACAUUUUUAUUUGCUCCUGCCAAACAUGGAAGAACACUGCUAGUCUAGUCCAGGACCAGCUUAAUCAACUUUAAGGCUUGAGGUUCCCUAGCCUACCCAAGAGAUGAGAAUUUAGAUUGCAAGAUCAUUCGAGACCUGAUCUACUUCUGGUUUACCCUUAUCCAGAGGGUGUAACCCUCUGGAGUUCCACAUCAAUGUGGGAUGAGGUCUUAUUAUAUGGCCCCACCUGUGUUAGCCCUGGGAUUUAAGUUCUGUCUCUUUAAUUCCAUGAUGCUGUCAAAACAAAAUUCAAAUUUGUUGGGAUCAGAAAAUGCCUCAGGGGAAAAGUGGCUUCUGCUCUUGCUUACCUGUCUGGAUUUUUCUCCCUUUCAAUUUUGGCCUGGCAAUUCCCUUUUAUACUGCCGACUCUUUAGUGUUUUUAAUAUAUUUUUGAAAUGUAUUUAGCAUUUUAAGUUGUUUUCAGUGCAAGGAUGGGUCCAGAUAAUCUAGCCUACCAUUACUAGAAGUUGGAAUUUCUCCCUUCAGUCACUCAGCGAGUAUUUGUGGAGUGCCUACUAUGUGCCAGGCACUAUGCUGGGGGAGAACAGCAAACCAGACAGACAGAACAGGCUCUUGUGGAGAUCACCAUCUUUCUAGGGAGACAGACAAUAAACAGAGAGUUACUCAAUUGAUUAGUUAAUUACAGUUGUGACACAUACUGUGAAGUAAGGAAAUUCAGGGGUGAUGAGAAGGAGCUCUUGCCAGCUUUGGGGGCUCAGGGAAGUUGUUUUUAAGGAUGAUUUUUAAGCUGAAACCUGAAGGAUCUGUAGGAUUUAUAAGUAAUUGGGGGUUGGAUCGAGAGAAUCCAGGCAGAGGGAACUACGUAUAUAAAACUCAGCAGUGGGAAGGAGCAUGACAUUCUAGGUACUGAAAAGUGUCCAGUGUGGCCAGAGUGGGGGUGGAGGACAAGAGGCAAGGCAAGAGGUCAGCAAGGUCACACUAUCACACUCUCAUAAGCAGGGGUUUAGACUUUGGUCAAUGUACCAAGAGCAACAGGAGCCUGGAGAGAACUGAAAUCAGACUUGCUUAUUAACGUCACUCUGCUGAAGUGUAGGGGAUAAAUCAUAGUGGGCAAUACCUUGGUAGCACAGAGAUGGAUGGAUUCAAGAGAAUUUUAGGGGAUAAGAGAAGAAGGGUUUCCACCGAGCUUGACCAUCGAAAUGUCCUAGAAUGCCUUAUCCAACCACACUGGUUAUUCUUUAUUUGCACUCAGAUCCAGUCCACUCCUACUCUCUGCCCUGGAAGCCUGGCUGUGUGGGCCACACCGAGGGCCUCCCGUGCCUCUGGCUUUCUGUUCGGUUUGGCCAAUCGUAGGUACCAGCAGGAGAUCGGAAGGGUUUGAUAACUGGAAAAUCAUAAGCUACUUCCCACGAAGUCUGCUGUGAAAUUCACCCCUGAGGGAGGUCUCUGCGGGGAGUUGUGUAAAGUGUGGGUUACCCCGGACUCCCAUCUCACCCUCCACACCCAGGCUUCCGUGGCUGGAGAACCUGUGUGCUUAUUGCUCUGACUGAGGCCUCACUUCAGGCUGGUCCUUACAAAUUCUUGCAGAAACAUAACGUGAGUGGCCUAAGCAGGAAAGAGCAUAUGACACUGGCACAGCUUACCAAAAAUUCUACCUCUGUGCUGGAGAUUCUCGCAUGGAGCCAAGUGCAAUGAGGAAAAUGAAACACAACGGAAUGUGUCUUCAGGUAUGACUGGAUCCAGCGGCCAGACUAUGUCACCAAGUGUCCUCUCCCACUGCAUCUCCGGGUUUUGCCAUCCUUUGUGCUGGCUGCAGUCUCCUGUUAGGAGUUCCCAAUAAUGCAAGGCCUCCAAACAGAUACUCCGCAACCCAGAAUAAAGCUUCAGUUUUUGGAGAGUUGCA